AAUGAUGGCAAGGAGAGAUGACCUCUCAUUUUGCCAAGAGAUGAAAUUUAGGAAUAAGAUGGUAGAAUACUUGACAGACUGGGUUAUGGGGACAUCAAACCAAGCAGCAGAUGAUGAUGUAAAAUGUCUUACAAGGCAUCAGGUACAUGAAAAAGAAGAAUUCAAAGCUUUGAAAACGUUAAGUAUUUUCUACCAAGCUGGGACUUCCAAAGCUGGGAAUCCUAUUUUUUAUUAUGUUGCACGGAG
rnacentral:sRNA from 1 species